rnacentral:rRNA from 1 species
UAGUCAUAUGCUUGUUUCAAGGACUAAGCCAUGCAUGCCUCAGAAUGACUGCAUUGCAGGAAUCUGCGCAUGGCUCAUUACAUCAGACGUAAUCUGCCGCAAAAAUGUUGCGGUUUCGCAAGAUUGGAUACCUUGGCGAAACGCCAAGCUAAUACAUGAACAAGAAGCACCCUCCACUCCGUGUUUGGCGCAAGUCAAGCAGCGAGGGGCUUUGCGAAUGAAUGAAACUAGAACCAAUGCUCGCAAGAGCAGCAACACAAGCAGUGUUGAAUCAAUUCAUUCCGUGCGAAAGCCGGUUUACCGGCGUCUUUCGAUGAACAACUGCCCUAUCAGCCAGUGAUGGCCGUGUAGUGGACUGCCAUGGCGUUGACGGGAGCGGGGGAUUAGGGUUCGAUUCCGGAGAGGGAGCCUGAGAAAUGGCUACCACUUCUACGGAGGGCAGCAGGCGCGCAAAUUGCCCAAUGCCAAAGCAAAUGGUGAGGCAGCGAAAAGAAAUAGGUCUUCCAAACGUCUUACGGCGUUUGGAAGUUUGCAAUGGGGGAUAUAUAAACCCAUCCAAUAUCGAGUAACAAUU